rnacentral:rRNA from 1 species
UGCUGACGAGUGGCGAACGGGUGAGUAAUACAUCGGAACGUGCCCGAUCGUGGGGGAUAACGAAGCGAAAGCUUUGCUAAUACCGCAUACGAUCUACGGAUGAAAGCGGGGGAUCUUCGGACCUCGCGCGGACGGAGCGGCCGAUGGCAGAUUAGGUAGUUGGUGGGAUAAAAGCUUACCAAGCCGACGAUCUGUAGCUGGUCUGAGAGGAUGAUCAGCCACACUGGGACUGAGACACGGCCCAGACUCCUACGGGAGGCAGCAGUGGGGAAUUUUGGACAAUGGGCGCAAGCCUGAUCCAGCCAUGCCGCGUGCAGGAUGAAGGCCUUCGGGUUGUAAACUGCUUUUGUACGGAACGAAAAGGUGCCUUCUAAUAAAGGGCGCUCAUGACGGUACCGUAAGAAUAAGCACCGGCUAACUACGUGCCAGCAGCCGCGGUAAUACGUAGGGUGCGAGCGUUAAUCGGAAUUACUGGGCGUAAAGCGUGCGCAGGCGGUUUUGUAAGACAGAGGUGAAAUCCCCGGGCUCAACCUGGGAACUGCCUUUGUGACUGCAAGGCUGGAGUGCGGCAGAGGGGGAUGGAAUUCCG